AAUGAAGUGAGGAUGAGAGGGGAGGAUGGGAGGGAGGAGUAACAAAAUUGAAAACAAAAGCUUGAAAGUGAAAACAAUUUCGAAUAGAUUUCAGUUUUUAAAUUUUGUUUUCCCUUUUGUUACUCCUCAUGCCCAUCUUCCCCUCUCAUCUUCCCUCUCAAU
rnacentral:miRNA from 1 species